CUACCCUCGAGCGAGGCGGAGAUCGGUCACCUGCUCGAGGGUAGAUCCGCUACCCUCGAGCGAGGCGGAGAUUGCCCAGCGGGCCUGAGAGGUACCCUCGAGCGAGGCGGAGAUCGUUCCGCGGGUUCGAGGGGGAUGCGAAUGGGCCGCAUGCUGGGCUUCUUCGAGUCAUUCCCUUUCCUCUGAAUGAGAAGCAGGCCGUGGGCCUUCGUGGGCUUAGCCAUCUUAUCAGGUGUUUGUGUUUUAAAAAGCGGUCUUAGUACCCCAAUUAGGGUGUCCCUAAUUGUGGCACCCGACAGUGACUACUGAAUCUAGCCAACCGAUUGUUAAGAAACGCCUCCCAAAGAAAAUCAGACAAGUCCCUGACUGUUAUUUUCUGCCUCGGCGAUCCUGGCCUUCUGCACUGGCCAUCUAUGGUGUUGUGUGUGCUGCUAGGGUUGGUGCAGGGAUGCUUCUUGAGGUGUGGAUAGACAAAAAGAUCAAAGAGGAUGGUGGCAUCAUCUGGGAGAUGGAUAAAUGAUAUGGAGCACAUUUUGAUGCAGUAAAACCUCCCUUGGCAUUAUGGAGAUAGCUAACUCUGAAAAUGCUGAUGCAAAUUAACACUGCCUUGCUUUGUUUUAAAGGCGAUCUAAGGCAAGCUGGGUACGCCUGGACGCAUAGGCGACAAGGCGUGGCUCCCAAGGCGAGCUGGGUACGCUUAUGUAUCUGGAUUCAUCUUUGUAAUAGCAGUAUGGUGCUCCAAACUUCCAAGCUUCAUUAAACAAGCAGACUGAAAGUGUCAGAACUGCAAUUCAUAGAGAUUUUGGAAUUUUGUGAGACAUUAUAAUUAGUGCACUGGUAAGCAUUACUUUGAAUGUCUUUGUGGUUUUUCCAGCCGUCAAGUGGCAUGUUGUGGCCAGAUUUGACGAUCAGUGUAUCUGCCAUUAUGUGAGAAUUCAUUCAUUUGUGUGCAUCAAACUCUUACUAUC